UCUAGAAGAAUAAUAUGGGUCUUUGGAAGUUGCAGAUUGGAAAUCUGAUAUGCGAAUCUUUCUGAUCGAGUUAUACAGGAUUUUAGACCUUACCAUCGAUCUUUGAUCGAUUGUUGACUUGUGGUCAAUGAGCCUCAAACUAUUUUAGAAUGUCCUUAAGGAUGUGCCUUAUAUGAAUUACGUAUUCUAUUGAUAAGAGUUCUGAGAUGUGAUUCGAUAAUUGUUAUAAGCGUCAAUCGUUCGGGACUCCUCGAUGUGUGUGUAAGUGAAUCACAACGUGGACUCCAAGUGAGUGGAUAUUUUCCUUCUUAUCAUAUGUAUAUAAUUGAUAGUUCCAUAAACGUUUCUCAAUUGAUUUGUGCAUGUCACGUACAAAUAAUUAUUGUGAACUACGAAAUGCUUGAUCCCUGUUUAGGGAAUGUAGGCAGUCUGAUAAGACGUUAGAUGCAACCAUAAAAUAAACUAAAUGAGACUAAAUAAUUGAGACAAUAGCCUUGUUUGGGGAAUUGAGCAAUGUGAGGGAGAUUGGUGCAAAAUGUGAGAUUUAACCUUAUGUUUUAGUGGUUAAUUGUUGGUUAUAAAUCAAUGUAUGAAGAAUCAAGAAAUUAAAGUAAGGAAACGUAAGUAAUGAUAGUUGAUAGACUAGUGUCUAGUUGGGCUUAUCACUGAUGAUUACUCUCAAAAGUAAACAGUUUGGUAGUAGGGCGUUAUUGAUUGUACAUUUUUAUGCCGUAUGAUAUAUUUUGGGAAUAUUAUGAAAUGUUUGAGUUUAGAUUGCAUCAUGACAUAUUCAUAUGUAUAAUACCUGAACCUAAUUAUUGUGAAUGCUUUGAAGUGCUAAAUGACAUCGCGGAUGCCCAGGUAAGCUUCAAGUGAGUACAUGUUGAUGAUAGUGAUGGUAGUGAGCAUGAUUGUGUUGAGAUAUAUUAGAGCUCAUAAACCUGCACCCCGGUGUUAGUGCUCCCGCCCGUGGCCAUGGCACAGUCCUUCACAUGAUGUUCACCUCCCACACCUUAUGCUCACCUUGGAUCCAAGUUAGGUGCACAGUCUUGUCGUAUAGACCACUAUAGGUGUUUCCGACUCGUAGGUGACCUGC
rnacentral:lncRNA from 1 species